rnacentral:tRNA from 1 species
GAGCCAUUAGCUCAGUUGGUAGAGCAUCUGACUUUUAAUCAGAGGGUCAGAGGUUCGAAUCCGUCAUUCUCCACCA